GUUCCACUCUUCCGUUCUCCCCUUUCUCCCCACUUCCGCCCGCUUCAAUGGCGACUCCCCGUGCCGGCCAGCCGCCCCGCUGCCGCCCUAGUUUCCCGCCCCGGCACCGCGCUGCCGCCGUCGUCCCCCGCGUUCUCGCGCGGCCUCCCCGCGCCGACCGCCCGCUUCUCUGGAGAAAGCCGCCGACGAAGCACACGAGUACCCGUCGCUCAGGCCCCUCGACCCGUCGCAAGAGGAAGACCCGUAUCCUGACGAGGUAAUUUCCUGUUCCUUCCCUCGUCCGGUUGGCAUCGCGUCGCUCUUUGUUUAUCUCCUGAACGCUGACGCUUUGGUUCAUGGACGCGAAAUGUGGUGCUGGGAUGGAGGCGGACGACCUCAAUUUCUACCGGAUUGGGUACGUGCAGAUGAUGCGUGCCUACAGGAUCGAGUUCCUGGAAGGGCCGGAUAAGAUGGGGUGUAUUCUUCCCGGGACGUCGAGCCGCUCUGCAGAGCUAGAGUUGUGCCAGUCGCUUCAAUACUUACACCAAACCAAUUUGAAGUUGAACUACUCACGGGAUUGAGCAGUGCCGCAUAAGCGAUGCAGAAGCAAGACCAGAGAUUAAUUUCAAAUAAGCUUUGGCUCGACUUGGAGAGGCAAAGAAAACAUAUGCGGGAGGGUUUCGGUCUGUGCUCGUCGGCGGCGAGGUCUAGUUGGUUGUCUAGAGAGUUGCUCAUUUACUCUGUUCGCUUACUCAAGCUUUUUCUUGACUAAUUAUGCUGCCUGCUUCGGGCGGAUGCGGCGAGGCGAAGGCAAGUCCAGACGAGGCUUCCCAUCUCUUCUCAUUGGUGGCACAAUCUGCUAGCCCCGUCUGGUGGUUCCUUUGUUUUUGUUUGCGGCGAAUGGGAGUAUGAGACGCACCGGCUAGUUGUUAUCUUAAAUUGCUCACUGUUCUAAUUAUUCGCACAUAACUGUAUCAUGCAAUAACAAGAUUCUCAAUGCGCAAUUGAAUCUAUGUUUUAAUUAAAAUCUAACAUUGUUAGCUUAUAUAUAUAUUCACUUGAAUUGCAA